rnacentral:rRNA from 1 species
UACGUAGGCAGCAAGCGUUGUUCGGAAUUACUGGGCGUAAAGAGUGUGUAGGCGGUGCUCCAAGUCUGUUGUGAAAUCUCCCGGCUUAACUGGGAGGGGGCGGCGGAAACUGGAGUGCUUGAGUGUGGGAGAGGUAAGCGGAAUUCCUGGUGUAGCGGUGAAAUGCGUAGAUAUCAGGAGGAACACCUGUGGUGUAGACAGCUUACUGGACCACGACUGACGCUGAGACACGAAAGCGUGGGUAGCAAACAGG